UACGAAGGGGGCUAGCGUUGUUCGGAAUUACUGGGCGUAAAGCGUGCGCAGGCGGCCUUCCAAGUCAGGGGUGAAAGCCCAGAGCUCAACUCUGGAAUUGCCUUUGAGACUGUGAGGCUUGAGUACGGGAGAGGUGAGUGGAAUUCCCAGUGUAGAGGUGAAAUUCGUAGAUAUUGGGAAGAACACCGGUGGCGAAGGCGGCUCACUGGACCGAAACUGACGCUCAUGCACGACAGCGUGGGGAUCAAACAGG
rnacentral:rRNA from 1 species